AUACGAGGGGUGCAAGCGUUAAUCGGAAUUACUGGGCGUAAAGCGUUCGUAGGCGGUUUGUUAAGCAAGAUGUGAAAGCCCAGGGCUCAACCUUGGAACUGCAUUUUGAACUGGCAGACUAGAGUAUUGUAGAGGGUGGUGGAAUUUCCAGUGUAGCGGUGAAAUGCGUAGAGAUUGGAAGGAACAUCAGUGGCGAAGGCGGCCACCUGGACAAAUACUGACGCUGAGGAACGAAAGCGUGGGGAGCAAACAGGAUUAGAAACCCCGGUAGUCC
rnacentral:rRNA from 1 species